rnacentral:lncRNA from 1 species
AAAAAAAAAUAUUAAGAUACAUGUAUAUAUUUACAAAUUGUUGUAUAAAUUUUAUUUGCAAAAUUUGAGGUGAGAGUUGAGGUGGCACGAAUCAUUUUUAGAUCAAUAUUGGAUUUGAAAUAGUUAUCUAGAAUCUGUAAUGUACAUUAAUAAAAUAGAAACAAAAACUUUUGUAUUUCAUUGUCGUAGAAUUUUGUUUUUAAAUAAUAAAUAAAUAUAAAUAUUAGGGUUUCUAUCUUUCUUCUAUUCCUUUCAGCCUCGGAAAAAUACUCUCCUCCAUUUAAAAAAAAUGAAAAAAAAAAUGAAAAAAAAAUAGUUUCUCUUGUGAAUUAAAAAGUUAAGGGAAUGAUUAAUUUGCUGUUAAUUUGAUUUAUGAGAAAAUAAUCAACUACAUCACAUAAUAUCUAAACAUGAUUUACUAUACUUAUUUUAUAUUUAAACACACGAUCUUUGUAAUCUCCUGACGAUCUAAUUUUGAUAUGUAAAUUAAUUUCAUUUGUAUAAUUUAAUAUUUAAUUCAAUCGAUUUAUAAACACUUGAUGAACAUUUGCCUUUUUUUUUACCUUUUAAAUCACAUAAAUUCAGAAAUGAUAUUGAUUAUCCAUCCACUGAGAGAUUAUUAAAUCAAUUAAAUUUAUAUGCAAUAAUUACAAUAUUGAACUUAGUGUGCCUACUAAUUAUAUUGGAUGUAAUUAAUUUGGUCAGCUAUGUUGGCUAGUGAGUCAUUUCAUCUAUACUGGUAAAUGGACCUACACGUUAAAGAUACUGCCAAUUUUUUGAAUUUUCCAUUUGCUCACUUAAAAAACAUGAUUAAUAAUGCUAGCUGAAAUCCAAUAAUUAUAAUAUUGACCUUGACGUGCCUACUAAUAAUUUUGGAUGUAAUUAAUUUGGUCAGCUAUGUUGGCUAGUGAGUCAUUUCAUCUAUACUGGUAAAUGGACCUACACGUUAAAGAGGAAGAUACUGCCAAUAUUUUGAAUUUCCGAGAUCCUCUUCUAAUAGCCCCAAAAAAAAAAAUUGUGUGCAAAUGGCUCAAAUAAAGGAAUAAAUGAAAAAUAAGGAAAUUCAAAAAACAUCAUUUUUUAUUUUGAUAAAAGUAAUUGGAUGGAUUUCACAAUUAGAAUGAAGAACAAGAGAAAAAGACGAAACGUUAUUGAAUUUCUUUUUUUCAAAACCCAAAAGCAUAUAAACUGUAUUUGUGUCCAAAUUCAAAAUCAAACGGGCACUCGAAUUUUCUUAUCAAUUUUUAAUGAAAAACACAAAACUUGUCGGCAGCAACGCGGAAAAAAAAAGAAAAAGAAAAUGAAAAACAAGGGAAAAAGAACAUGCAAAAUGUAAAGAGCUUCCGGUUACGUGAUAAACAAAAAAAAAAAAGAAAUAGUAAAUAAAAUGGAAAUUGUUCAUAACAUAGGGACCCACUAGACAUUGGGCGCCGAAUCGAUCAACGGUUGGGAUGUCAUCAAUCGCAAUGACUUCUAAUGUUAAUUUUACAUUAUUAUAAAUAUUAAUUAAUUCAAUUUUUCUCUUUAAAUAAAUGAUAUAAAAGAUUUCGAAAUGAAUAAGUGUUCGAUAAUUCAUAGUCUUUCCCUAUCAUGAGGAUAACUAAGCUAACGACAAUCUUGGCCUAAAAGUAUAAUCUUUAUAACCUCACAAAAUAUAGUUUUGUGAAAGAAAUAAUCAUAUAAUGCCACCCACUGUAGGGUCAUCCUCCUUGUUCUUUUUCAACUUUUCCUUCCAAAAACAAGUUAAUUUUAUCACUAACAUCAAUUUUUCUUUUUUUUUUUUUUUUUCUUUUUUUAAAGUGAGGCUCAAUCAAUAGUACCGUACAUCCGCCUUGGCCGUACAGCAGUAUAUAUAUAUAUAUAGAUAUAUAGAUAUGUGUGUGAAAACAAAAAAAUAUUUAUAUAUAUAUAAAGAGUGAUACCGAUUAAACUUGCAUACUGAUCAUCACAAACAGAGGCGCCAUUUUACUGAACUUGUAAUAUGUAAAUGCCAAAGAGAGAGAGAGAGAGAGAGAGAGAGAGUUUUUAAUUUUCUUUUUUAGUGUAGCUUUUGUUUUUUAAAAAAAAAAAAUUCCAGUUUCUUAAACCCAAUAAUAACAGUGAUAUCAAACUAAGAGCGUAAAAUUAUUUAGGCAUAACAGAUUAAGAAAACUUUCUAAUCAUGCAUCAAGAUAAGGAUCUAAAUUCUAAACUGAAGCAGUGAAAAGAAAAAGGAUAAAUAAUGAAAGCAAAUUUAAAAAAGAAACAAAAGAAGGAAAAAAUUAACAUAUAUAUAUGAGAAGAUCAUACCUUUUAUAAUUUAUAUAUGUGUGCGUGUAUGUAAAAAGUAGAAUCUUGAUUCUUGAAUAUCAGCUGAGUUUCUAUUCCCUCUCUUUCCUAAAAGAAGGGGCUGCUGGUGCUGCUACUGCUGCACUUUUUUUUUUAUUUCUGAAAUGAGAGAGACGGGAGAUCAGAUCAGCAGGAACUUUGUAGCAAAUUUUAGUUUUCUUUCCGUUUUGGCAGCUGGGAAAGUGAAAAGAAAUUUUUUGGAAUUUUCCGGGAAUGUAAUUGCAAAAUAUCUCUGGCCCGGCCUCUUGUGUUGGUCUAAUACUGGUUGCUUCUGCUGCUUUGUGGCCAGUUGUAAAGCUGCGACUGCUUUUGGUCUCUCCCUCUCUCUCUCUCUCUCUCUCUCUCUCUCUCUCUCUCUCUCUCUCUCUCUCUCUCUCUCUCUCUCUCUCUCUCUCUCUCUCUCUCUCUCUCUCUCUCUCUCUCUCUCUCUCUCUCUCUCUCUCUCUCUCUCUCUCUCUCUCUCUCUCUCUCUCUCUCUCUCUCUCUCUCUCUCUCUCUCUCUCUCUCUCUCUCUCUCUCUCUCUCUCUCUCUCUCUCUCUCUCUCUCUCUCUCUCUCUCUCUCUCUCUCUCUCUCUCUCUCUCUCUCUCUCUCUCUCUCUCUCUCUCUCUCUCUCUCUCUCUCUCUCUCUCUCUCUCUCUCUCUCUCUCUCUCUCUCUCUCUCUCUCUCUCUCUCUCUCUCUCUCUCUCUCUCUCUCUCUCUCUCUCUCUCUCUCUCUCUCUCUCUCUCUCUCUCUCUCUCUCUCUCUCUCUCUCUCUCUCUCUCUCUCUCUCUCUCUCUCUCUCUCUCUCUCUCUCUCUCUCUCUCUCUCUCUCUCUAUAUAUUUAUAUAGAAGCAUACAUAUUACAUAACAGAUGGUUGAAGAAAGUUUAUUAGAAACUGUUGCUUUCUUCACUUCCAUUUUCAUCGACAUUGUUGCUCCACGUGUCCUUCCUUGUUUUUUUUUUUAAGUGUGCAACACAUUGUAUUUAUUUAUUUUAUAUUAUAUCGUCAUCGGCGGGACCACAAUUGGCUUGGCUCCAAGUUUCUUUCUUUUUCUUUUUUCGUUUUUUGACUCUUUAAAUUGCCAACUCAAUAACACAAUAAUUACUUAAUCAUAUGUUUGCCGAGACUCAUUUAGAUUAAUCUCAUUGGUCACAUGGGCGAUGAGCAAGAGGAAUUCUUGUGGUCAGAAUUGAGUAGAGAGAACUUUUAAAUGAAGGGAGAAAGUGAGAAACCUUAGCCUAUUGGUCAUUAAUUUGGGUUGGCAUUUUUCGAUUCAUUAAUAGGUCAUAAUCUCCAUUAGUUGCUUCCUUGUCAUUGUAAUUUAGAUUUGAAAAAAAAAAAAAAAGCUAGGCAAUUGAUUAGUGAAUUUAAAAAAAUAAAAUAAAAUUAUGUAGUCCCACACAUAUCUCAUCCCCAACUCUUUUGGCUUGAUCCUUUGUAUUAAUUAAUGCAAUUGUGUUAUCAAUAGUGAUGUGUUGUUCUUGUGGAUACCCCGGUCACAAUGAUUUCCAAAAAAAAAAAAAUGGUUGAAAAAUGAAUAUUGAAAACGGAAAAAAAAAAAGUUAAGAUACAUAUAUAUUUACAAAUUGUUGUAUAAAUUUUAUUUGUACAAUUUGAGGUGAGAGUUUAGGAGGCAUGAAUCAUUUUUAGAACAAUAUUGAAUUUGAAAUAGUUAUCUAGAACCUGUAAUGUACAUUAAUAAAAUAGAAACAAAAACUUUUGUAUUUCAUUGUCGUAGAAUUUUGUUUUUAAUAAAUAAAUAAAUAAAAAUAUUAGGGUUUCUAUCUUUCUUCUAUUCCUUUUAGCCUCGGAAAAAUACUCUCCUCCAUUUAAAAAAAUGAAAAAAAAAUAGUUUCUCUUGUGAAUUUAAACGGUUAAGGGAAUGAUUAAUUUGGUGUUAAUUUGAUUUAUGAGAAAAUAAUCAACUACAUCACAUAAUAUCUAAACAUGAUUUAUUAUACUUAUUUUAUACUUAAACACACGAUCUUUGUAAUCUCCUGACGAUCUAAUUUUGAUAUGUAAAUUAAUUUCAAUUGUAUAAUUUAAUAUUUAAUUCAAUCGAUUUACAAACACUUGACGA